UUUUAUUUCCUUUUUUUCAUCAAAUUCCAAACAGACACGUGUCCUGUGUACAUAUGUAGGAAUCUGGAGAACAGAUUUCAACUGCAACAAAAUGUAAAGCAAUGAAAACCAGAACGUCAUGCAUUCAGUCUGAUUGGGAUGUAUUUGUCCUGAAUUUAGCUGCAGGUUUUUCUGCUCCAUGUCUGGAUUCUUUGGGUCACAGUGAGAAGAAGUUUCCUUGUUGCUGCUGUUGGGAUGGUGACCCUGUUUCACCGCCAGGACUUCAAUAAAGUGGACAGUUAGAAGUGAAAGAGCUUCAGCUGCUCAGAGCAGCGGCUCAGGUUCCUCCUCUAAUUAUCCAAUCAGCAGGCGGCUCCAGGUGUUCAGCAGCUUUAUCAUCCUCAGGUGAGGCGGCAGUCUGCAGCAGCUUCCAGCCGCUCUUCGGUGCUUCCCGGCGAGCAGAGAGCAGCGCAGUGGACCGGAGCAUGUCGGCGGCUAACAGACGGAUGACGAUGGCCUGGGUUUGGCCCGCUUUGGUGCUUCUAGCCCGGCUCACCACGGCAGAGGAACCGCGUCGGGACGCAUACGGAGCUUUGGCCGGCUCCGAGGCGCUGAUCUCGGACUCGGAGCCGCCGAUGGAGACCCGCAGCGGGGGAGGCUUCCUGCCGGUGCUGGUGUGGAAGUUUGUGAAAGAUGCUGCAGAUGCAUCAGAUUUGGGCCGACCGCAGUUUCUCUGCAGCGACACGUCACUCUCUGUUCGCUUGUCGCUCAUCCGAUACUCUGACCUGCAUCUGCAAGAUGGGAGGAGGUUGGCGUGGCUGCAGCAGGGAUGUGAUGGUUCUAUUGGGACUGUGGGGCCGUGGCUGCUGCUGAAGCUGCCUUACACCAGCUGCCAUGUGACAUCACAGGUUUCAAAUGGAACGUGGUUCCACCAGUUGAAGCUGCGUUACUUCGACCACCUGCUGCGGGAGAACAUGACGGCUGUGGUCGCCUGUGAGGAUCCUGCAAUGUGGACCCUGCCGGCGGUGAGCUGCAGGAGCACAGAAGUGGCUGUGAAACUGCCUCAGGGAAGCAGACUGCAGAAGGUGAAGGCUCUGGGGAAAGAUGUGGUGGUUGGGAGGGUGCAGACCACCACUACUCCAGGGCCAGUGUUGGUGCAGAUCUCCACACCGGCAGACAAGGACUCCAUGUUUGAAGUGAUCUAUUUGGAUUCGGCUGGGGAGAUGUCCACGAUGCUGGCGGCUUGUUUCGGUGCAGCCAGAGGAGAUGGGCGGGAUCGUCGGCGCAGAGCUCUGCAACACCAGGACCAGUGGGACUGGGGGGUGAAUCCUCGUCAUUGGCACAAUGUGGAACCCCGACAGAUGGUGGACAAUUCCUCAGAAUACCUGGAUGCAUCAGAUGAUGGCCCUUCUGAUGAGGAUGAUGAAGAGUUGGAUGGUUAUGAGGAGGAUUCAGAUGACGAGUUGGAUGAAGAGCAGUCAGAUGAUGAGGAGUCUGACACCAACAACACAACGGCCAACAUGACUGAUACCCAGACAAACUCCACAAUAGCAGCUCCAACCACAACACUGACGGUGGAAGCUGAAGAAACACUGAACUCCUCGAUGCCUGUAAAACCCAGACUGGGGAGAGGGUUGGCUGACAUGGAGACGUCUGGUGACUCUGAGGAGGAUGACGACACUUUUUCACCUGUAGGACCCAGACUGGGGAGAGGGAUGGAUGACAUAGAGGUGUCUGAUCUCGAAUUCAUGGAUAAUGAUGCUUCUGGGGAUGAGGCGUACGAUGAUGAUUCUUCUGGAGAUGAUUACUACGAUGAGGAUUCUGCAACAGCCAACAUGUUUGAUGCUGAGAUGAAUGCCUUGUUACCUUUUGAACCCAGACUGUGGCGAGGGAUGGAUGACCUGGAGGCAUCUGAUGACUCAGAGGACAUGGAGGAACAUGAGGAUGAUGAUGAUUCUGAGGAUGAUGAUGACUCUGAGGAUGAUGAUGACUCUGAGGAUGAUGACACCUUUUCACCUUUAGAACCCAGACUGGGGAGAGGGAUGGAUGACAUGGAGGCUUCUGAUCCAGAACUCAUGGAUGAUGAUGCUUCUGGGGAUGAGGCGUCUGGGAAUUACGACUCUUCUGGGGAUGACGAGCUGUCUGACAGCAGUGGUGAGGUCUCAGAUGAUUGAUGCUGACAGUUCCACAACCAGCACCUCCAGUACACAUCUGGACCAGUGGCCCCCCCCAGCUCCUAGACCUCCACCACAGAUCCAGCCACAACUGCAGAGGUCCUUAGUCCAACUCCUUGUAUCUCCUCAUUCUCUUUUAAAUAAAGUACAACUUUCCAUCAGAUCCAGUCUGCUUAUUUCUCAUGUAGAGCUUUUCUGCUUCCACAUAAAAUGGUCAACAUAUUGAGGUGAAAUGAAUAGAUUUGGAAUGUGAGGGUUGAUCAGUUUCAGAGCAGAAUUUAAAACCCUUCCCUCCUAUAAAGCCCUUAAUGGUCCCAUCUGGUGUAAAUCCAUUUGUGUUUGGUAAUUCUUGACCAAUAGGGGUCUGGCUUUGUGUAGCCCCACCCCCUCACUGUCCAGGUGAACCAUCAGACCGAGUAGCUGCCUCUGUCCUCCAGGUUUAUUUACUUCCUACAGCUGCUAACUAAUGUCUGAACCACAAAUAAAACCCACCAGAUGUCUUGUU
ensembl:lncRNA